UACGUAGGGUGCAAGCGUUGUCCGGAAUUAUUGGGCGUAAAGGGCUCGUAGGCGGUUUGUUGCGUCGGGAGUGAAAACAUCCAGCUUAACUGGGUGCUUGCUUUCGAUACGGGCAGACUUGAGGUAUGCAGGGGAGAAUGGAAUUCCUGGUGUAGCGGUGAAAAUGCGCAGAUAUCAGGAGGAACACCGGUGGCGAAGGCGGUUCUCUGGGCAUUACCUGACGCUGAGGAGCGAAAGUGUGGGGAGCGAAUGGG
rnacentral:rRNA from 1 species